rnacentral:rRNA from 1 species
UUCAAUGAAAUAUGCAAAGUUGAUUAUGUCAAUAACAAUUUAGCUGAGUCAUUCAAUUCCAAAAUUAAGAAGUGGAAGGGGAUACACAUUGUGGACUUGCUUGACAAAAUUAGGCAGUUCAUAAUGGAAAAGUUUGACUUGAGACAGCAGAUUGCAGCUGGGACAUACAAUGGGCACAUCAUAAUCCCAAAAAUCAUGAUUAUGCUUCAUGCAAAAUCAAAAGACCUUGAUAUGUCCAUAGUGAAAAGAAGCACAUUAAAGGCAGAGAUUACUGCAAUUGACAAGGAAAAAAGAGAGUGGAGAUAUCCUGUUAAUUUGCAAACACAUACUUGUAGUUGUAGAAAGUGGCAAAUAACAGGACAACCAUGCAUACAUGCAUUGUACUUUAUCACUUCAAUGAGAGGUCCAGUUAGUGAGAUUGAUCAGUAUGUUCAUGAGUAUUUCUCUGUGGCAAAAUUCAAGGCUACUUAUGCUGAUAAUCUGCCACUUCUGGAGGGCAAGCAACAAUGGGAUGUUGUAGACCCAGGAUUUAAACUGAGUGCUCCAUUGCAAAAUAGGCCACCUGGUAGACCUAGGAAGACAAGAAUUAGGGCUAAAUCAGAG